UACGUAGGGUGCAAGCGUUGUCCGGAAUUAUUGGGCGUAAAGCGCGCGUAGGCGGCUUGGCAAGUCGGAUGUGAAAUCCCUCGGCUCAACCAAGGAAGUGCAUCCGAAACUGCCGAGCUUGAGUACUUAAGAGGAUCGCGGAAUUCCCGGUGUAGAGGUGAAAUUCGUAGAUAUCGGGAGGAACACCAGUGGCGAAGGCGGCGAUCUGGGAAGAUACUGACGCUGAGGUGCGAAAGCGUGGGGAGCAAACAGG
rnacentral:rRNA from 1 species